UACAUGAAGGCGCUUGGUCCAAUAUAUGCAC
rnacentral:piRNA from 1 species